rnacentral:rRNA from 1 species
GACGAACCGAGCGAACGUUGUUCGGAAUCACUGGGCUUAAAGGGCGCGUAGGCGGGCGAUCAAGUCGGUGGUGAAAUCCUACAGCUUAACUGUAGAACUGCCUCCGAUACCGGUUGUCUCGAGGAAGGUAGGGGCGUGCGGAACAGUUGGUGGAGCGGUGAAAUGCGUUGAUAUCAACUGGAACUCCGGUGGCGAAGGCGGCACGCUGGACCUUUUCUGACGCUGAGGCGCGAAAGCCAGGGGAGCAAACGGG